UAUGCCUGCUUUUCUACAAAUGACGAAAAACGUCUUUAUUUGUAUAGCGUACAAAAUGAGACACUGAAAGCAAUUUUUCAGCUUGACCAAAUAUGCCUGUGUUAUGUGUGUAAGAGAUUAGCCCAACACACCGACUGGUUCAUUCAAAACAUACAAAAUAAUCAAAUAUACCUUGAAAACUUUGAAAAUGUAACUACCACAACAAUAGAAGCAAUAAAAAUUCAAAUACACCCUCAAGUCGAUCUUACUUGUCAACCAUUAGAACAGAUCUCUUUAUACCAUGACAUUAGUACAUUAAAACCUGACGAUGAUGAGAAUAAGGAAUCAUUUACUGUUAUUUCAAAUGGGUGUGAAAAAGCAAUUGUUAGGAUCAAGACGGAGUUAAAAGAUGAAGAGGAUUCCCUUGAUGAUGAAAUUUGUGGGGAUGAACUAGAUGCUUACAUAAAAGAAGAAGACGAGCACCCAUUGAAGUUACUAAAAGAAGAAUUGGAGUCGGA